CGGGAAAAGCUCAAAUUUAAAAUCUGGCGGUCUCUGGCCGUCCGAGUUGUAAUUUGUAGAAGAUGCUUCGGGUGUGGCUCCGGUCUAAGUUCCUUGGAACAGGACGUCAUAGAGGGUGAGAAUCCCGUAUGUGACUGGCUGCCUUCGCCUAUGUGAAGCUCUUUCGAC
rnacentral:rRNA from 1 species